CCACACGACUCUCGGCAACGGAUAUCUCGGCUCUCGCAUCGAUGAAGAACGUAGCAAAAUGCGAUACCUGGUGUGAAUUGCAGAAUCCCGCGAACCAUCGAGUUUUUGAACGCAAGUUGCGCCCGAGGCCUUCUGGUUGAGGGCACGUCUGCCUGGGCGUCACNC
rnacentral:rRNA from 1 species